rnacentral:rRNA from 1 species
GUGACCUCAAAUCAGGUAGGACUACCCGCUGAACUUAAGCAUAUCAAUAAGCGGAGGAAAAGAAACUAACAAGGAUUCCCCUAGUAACUGCGAGUGAAGCGGGAAAAGCUCAAAUUUAAAAUCUGGCAGUCUUUGGCUGUCCGAGUUGUAAUCUAGAGAAGUGUUAUCCGCGCUGGACCGUGUACAAGUCUCCUGGAAUGGAGCGUCAUAGAGGGUGAGAAUCCCGUCUUUGACACGGACUACCAGGGCUUUGUGAUGCGCUCUCAAAGAGUCGAGUUGUUUGGGAAUGCAGCUCAAAAUGGGUGGUAAAUUCCAUCUAAAGCUAAAUAUUGGCGAGAGACCGAUAGCGAACAAGUACCGUGAGGGAAAGAUGAAAAGAACUUUGGAAAGAGAGUUAAACAGUACGUGAAAUUGCUGAAAGGGAAACGCUUGAAGUCAGUCGCGUUGUCCAGGGAUCAACCUUGCUUUUGCUUGGUGCAUUUUCUGGUUGACGGGUCAGCAUCAAUUUUGACCAUUGGAAAAAGAUUAAGGGAAUGUGACAUCUUUGGAUGUGUUAUAGCCCUUGGUUGCAUACGAUGGUUGGGAUUGAGGAACUCAGCACGCCGCAAGGCCGGGUUUAACCACGUACGUGCUAGA